AAUUUAUCAAUCAUUUUUAAAGAAAAUGAUUUUGUGAUUGAAAAGUUAAAUGGUAAAAAUAUUGCUCAAUGUUUAAAGUGCAAUUAUAAGUUAAAAAAUACUGCACAAGUUCGAUUACAAAGUCAUCGAAAUAGAUGUGCUGCCAAAACUACUGAUCCCUCGGGAAAAACUAAGGUGCUAAGUAGAUCCUCUGAAGAAAGGUCAGCUGAUAUUUCAUUUGAUAAUCAAUCUAAAGCGACUUCAAGAAUUUCAUCAAAUAGUAAGAGUGAUUUAUCAACUAUUGAUGAAACUUGUGAAAUUUUUCGUAGGAUGCAAUCUUCUGUUUAGUAUUGUUGAAUCAAUUCCGUUUAAAGAGUUUGUUAAGUCGUUAAAUCCGAACUAUCAUCUGCCAUGCAGAAAAACUCUCUCCAAUACGUUGUUAAAUAAAUUACACAGCAAAAUUUCAAGUGAACACACAAAAAUGGAUCAGUCAGAAGGAGUAAUAGUGAUAGAUGGUUGGAAAAAUUCGGUUGCAAAUACUAAAAAUGUUGUAUGUAUUAUUCAUACAGCAAAUGAACCAAGUUUUUUUUUAAACUCUUAGGAUUUCACAUUGUUAUCUGAAGAUACACAACACCCUGUUGAAAUAAUCCCAUAGAUUCCAAUAACAAAUAACUUUAUUGGGGUCUAAUGUGCUUUUGUCGCUGCAAAUCCAUAUACAGAUCUAUACAAAUUUUCAAAGGAAAAAAACGGAAAGUUUAAUGGAAUUUAUAUGUCUCAAGAAUUUCUAU